rnacentral:lncRNA from 13 species
AUGGAUGCCUUCUUAAUCACAGGCUCUGUGGGUAAAGGGAAAGCCUUGCCUGGGCAGCCCCUCCCACCUCCACCCACCCCCUCCAUUGAUUCACAAACCUGGAAUACUCUGGAGGAGGCUGGGAAAGUCCAUCCCCAGGGAAUAUCACUUUUUUCCUCUUCCAUGCCUCUCACAGGACACCCACAAGACCAGGAGGCAGAACGUGAACAGGGAGGUCUUUCUUAUUACUACUUUUUGAGUGUCAGCAAGACACAGACUUCGUUUAAAUCAGUAUUAACAUCAAACACAUCACCAUCAAGAAAGCUGUAAUUUUGAUUGUUUGUCUAACAGUUGGGCCACGUUUUCCUGUUUUUCAUUUCUCUUCUGAUACGUCAGUCUAUGCCAGGGGAGAAACUGGCUGAAGUUAAGGGCUAAUGUCAAGUACUAACUGAACAACAAAUGGAUGGCCUCAAUAAUGUUAUAACCUGGUUGAAAUUAUUACUCAGUUUUUUUUUUGGCAGACCUGAGAUCUAUGUAUCUCCAUUUAACACGUGAAUGUAGACCAUUUCCUUAAAAGCAAAUUCCUAUAAAAAUAUAUAUCAGAAAUGAAUAGGUAUAAUUAAUAUAACUUUUUAAAUGCUUAAUAAAAUUCACCAGUAUACUAUCA